AUUUAAAUAAUUUAAUAAAAAAUAUUGAUCUGUGGAGUCAAAUAUAUGAUAUAACUCAUUUUAAAUC
rnacentral:tRNA from 1 species